rnacentral:lncRNA from 1 species
CCAUCCAUUCCCCUCCUUGCGCCGCCACUAACUCCACCUGGUCUCCCCCACCUCGGGAUCUUGCCCGAUCCAAAAAUCCUCAUCGGGAUCCCCUACCCGAUCCACCCAACCAGCUCGUAGCCGCCUCCCCUUCCCUGCUCCCGUGCGUGUCCAGCACCACAGGAGAGGUGCUCCUCGAGCCCUCGAUCCAGCGCGCAGAUGCUCGAGCGCUCCUCCUCGUGACCCGCCGCCCCGGCGAACCGUCACCGUCGGCGACCACUUCCAUCAGGCCGGACCCCGCUCCCCUCGUUGCUUCUCCUUCUCCCGUUCCCUCCGUUUUCCCUCUCUCACUUACUCUCUGUCAUCUCCAGGAAACUGCAGGAGGCAAGCACCAUGCCAUGGCAUCCCCUGCUCGACGACCGCGUCGCCGUCGUCGACUUCGCGCCCAUCCCCGCCUGAUUCUGCAGCGCCGCCGCCCGUCUUCUUCGUUCAAGGCAAGCUCUGCUGCUGUCCUGCUCGAGCUGCCAAGUCCCUGUCGCCUCGCCGCUGUACCCCGUCCUCGACCUCAUUCAGCAGCCCCCGCCGCAAGCCGCGACCUCCACAACCUCCUCCCGAAUCUGCUCCGCCUCGCCUCUGCCGGAUCGGAGCAGCACCGGACCAGCAGGACCGUGCCCUUCCUCUCCAGCCUCCCCUCUGUUUUCUUCUAGAUCACCGGCAACGCUCUCUCUCAGGAUCUCUCUUCUCUCUCGCUUCUCUCCACAGGGAACCGAAGCCAUGGCCACCGGCCGUCCAUGGUCGCCGCCGCAAGGAUCUGCUCGCCUCCGCUGCCUCCGCGCCAUCCCUGUCGCCGGAGGAUGCAGCCCCGCCGCUUCCAAGUCCUCUGCUUCGCCCGUGGUCGAGCGAGACGACCAUAAACGCAGCCGCGUUGACCGCCCGCUCGCCAGCGCCUUUCUGCCUCGCUGGCAAGGCCCAGCCUGCUCCAGCUCCUCAUCCGGCAUGCCAGGCCUCUCCACCAGCUGGGCCGAGGCCCAUGGUGAGAACCUCCCCCAGCGCCCAUGUCCUGUUUCAGCCUGUGCUCUAAUUCAGCCCGCAUGUGUUUUUUUUACUGCUGCGAAUUUAACAUUAUCCAUUGUAUUACUGAUUUACAGAAAACCCCUCCAUGUUCAUGCAUAUAAUAACUCAUUAUCCGUGCGUCAUAUGUAAAUAAUUUAUAUAUGUGAUAUGCUCAGAAAAUUGUGUAGAUUAACAAUAUGCCACUUUCAUCCCAUGUUAAUAUGUUUAACAUGUUGUUUACAUUAAUUUGCUCCUAUGCCAUGCUAAAAUGAUUUAUUUCAUAACUAUUUAACCGUAACUCCGAAUUUAAUGUUCUUUAUAUGUAAAUGGGGUGGAAAAAUGCCUAGUUUAACAUGGUGCACUUUGUUUUAUUGUUUAACAACUUUAAAAUAUGUUUUAGGGCAGAACAGUAGCAAAUUCAUAAAUUGCAUAUGAGGUUUUUCCGAAAAUAUUGUUUGUUGUUCCGGCCUCAUUUAAACUUGCCUAAAUAUUUAGUUUACUUUUGUUACACCCCUUGACAUGUUUAACAACAUUUAACAUUGUUGUGUACCUAAACGAGAGCGAACUAAAUAACUCGGAUGUGGUGUUUCGUCAAUAUGCAACUCGUUGCAUAUUGAGCUCCACUUAACUUGUAGUAUUGUGUGUUGCACUUUGCCAUGCCAUGCCCCAUUAAACCGGACAUGCAUCAUAAUUGAUUGUGCAUCAUGCCAUAUUUAUGCUUGUGUGUUUAACAUGUUGUUUGUUUCUUUCCGGUGUUGCUUCUUAGUCCCGGUAAUGUUGCGAUUGUGAGGAUUCGUUCGACUACGUCCAUUUGUCUUCUUCAUGGACUCGUUCUUCUUCCUAGCGGGAUUUCAGGCAAGAUGACCGCUACCCUGGAUCUCACUACUAUCAUUGAUAUGCUAGUUGCUUCGUUCUAUCGCUAUGUUGCGCUACCUAUCAUUUUGUUCUAUCAAGCCUCCCAAAUUGCCAUGAACCUCUAACCUUUGACACCAUUCCUAGCAAACCGUUGCUUGGCUAUGUUACCGCUUUGCUCAGCCCUCUUAUAGCGUUGCUAGUUGCAGGUGAAGUUGAAGAUUGCUCCAUGGUGGACAGGGUUAUGUUGGGAUAUUACAAUAUCUCUUAUAUUAUUAAUGCAUCUAUAUAUUUGGUAAAGGGUGGAAGGCUCGGCCUUAUGCCUGGUGUUUUGUUCCACUCUUGCCGCCCUAGUUUCCGUCAUACCGGUGUUAUGUUCCCGGAUUUUGCGUUCCUAACGCGGUCGGGUGAUUUAUGGGACCCCCUUGACAGUUCGCUUUGAAUAAAACUUGUCCAGCAAGGCCCAACCUUGGUUUUACCAUUUGCAUCACCACCACCUAUACCCUUCCCUUGGGUCGGCCAACCCGAGGGUCAUCUUUAUUUUAGCCCCCCCGGGCCAGUGCUUGUCUAAGUGCUGGUCCGAACUGAGUAGACUGCGGGGCCCCCUCGGGGCAACUCGAGGUCUGGUUUUACUCGUAGGAUGUCUCAUCUGGUGUUACCCUGAGAACGAGAUAUGUGCAGCUCCUAUCGGGAUUGUCGGCGCAUCGGGCGGCUUUGCUGGUCUUGUUUUACCAUUGUCGAAAUGUCUUGUAAACCGGGAUUCCAAGACUGAUCGGGUCUUCCUGGGAGAAGGUCUAUUCCUUCGUUGAUCACGAGAGCUUGUCAUGGGCUAAGUUGGGACACCCCUACAGGGUAUAAACUUUCGAGAGCCGUGCCCGCGGUUAUGUUGCAGAUGGGAAUUUGUUAAUGUCCGGUUGUAGAUAACUUGACACCAGAUCCGAAUUAAAAUGCAUCAACCGCGUGUGUAGCCGUGAUGGUCUCUUCUCGGUGGAGUCCGGGAAGUGAACACGGUUUCUGGGUUAUGUUUGACGUAAGUAGGUGUUCAGGAUCACCUCUUGAUCAUUGCUAGCUUCACGACUGUUCCUUUGUUUCUCUUCUCGCUCUCAUUUGCGUAUGUUAGCCACCAUAUAUGCUUAGCCGCUGCUGCAACCUCACCACUUUACCCCUUCCUUACCCAUUAAGCUUUGCUAGUCUUGAUACCCAUGGUAAUGGGAUUGCUGAGUCCUCGUGGCUCAUAGUUACUUCCAAAACCAGUUUGCAGGUACCAAUGUUACCAAGCAGGUGACGCCACCAAGCUCAAGGAGGAGCUCGAUGAAGAUCUUGCCCUUUGUGUUGUUUCGUUCUAGUUGAUCAGUAGUGGAGCCCAGUUGGGGUCGAUCGGGGACCUUUGUCACAUUUGGGGUUCUUCUUUUAUUUUGGUUCCGUAGUCGGACCUUGAUUGUAUCUGUAUGAUGUAAUGCUUUACUCAUGUAUUGUGUGAAGUGGCGAUUGUAAGCCAACUAUGUAUCUCUUUCCCUUAUGUAUUACAUGGGUUGUGUGAAGAUUACCUCACUUGCGACAUUGCUUUCAAUGCGGUUAUGCCUCUAAGUCGUGCUUCGACACGUGGGAGAUAUAGCCGCAUCGAGGGCGUUACAAGUUGGUAAUCAGAGCCUUCCCCGACCUUAGGAGCCCCACUGCUUGAUCGUUUUUAGCGGCCAAGUUGUGUCUAGAAAAAUGUUUUGAGUCAUUUAGGAUUAUAUAUAUCGGAGAGUUAGGAAUUCUUUUUACUCCCCAGUCUCUUCAUCGCUCUGGUAAGGCAUCCUGACGUAGAGUUUUGACUCUUCUCUUCUCAAAUUUCACUAAAUUUUUUUUAGGAUCACGCGGGUAUCUUGGAAUCAUUCCGAUGGUUUUAUGAUGAGAACAUUGUCUUGGUGCCUUCUGUCAGGGGUUUAGUGGAAGUGUCCUGGGGAGUUGAGCUCUGAGGUGUUGUCGUCAUAAUUUUAUCGUUGCAGUUCUGGAAUACCUGAGUUUAGUACGCCGACAUCGAAAAUCUCUUUUAUGCAGUUGUUGUUGAGAUAACCCCGAUAACCCAGUACUGAGGUGAGUACGGGAGUAUUGCCAUAACUUGUAUAACGGAUGCUUUUCGAAGGUUGAGGUACACGAUUUCCGAAGGUUUCUUGGUUAUGUUUUGACGGAUGGAUACAGCUUGGAUGUAGGUAUUGUUAGUUUGGGUGAGAUAUAUUGCUUCCCCUGUAUCCCCAACACCAGAUUGCAUAACCAGAAAGUUUCGGGAGUUUAUAGGUGGGAAUUCAAGUAGCUCCUAGAACAUCUUUCCGACAGAUGCAUGAUAUGGGAUUGGGUAAAUCUCUAUCAUAUGUUUGUUCCGGCUUAUUCUGCAAGCCAGUCCUUUGUUUUUGUUUUGAGUUGUGGUAUUCGAGUUGCUUCAAUGUCAAGUGUUGAUUCCAUACCUUUCCGAAAUGGUGUUCUCAUACUCCGAUGUGAAUACCAAUCCUUCUCGACAAUCGAGAUUGUCAUGUCAAUCCUUUUCAACCGGCGUGUUUCUCUUCAAGUGGAUCAGAUCACUUCAACAUCAGCAAGACCAAUUAUCAUUUCUUCUCAACGGUGUUUGUUUCAUCCGUCUCCAAGUUGCCUUUGUUUUUCCCGCCCACCCUCCCUUUUUCCUCAAGGACUAAGAUUUCUUUACCAAGUAUCCUUUUAUUUUUGUGAAGUUUCUCCAUUCUUUUCCGUCAAUGUUCUUACCCGGUGGUUCUCAAGAAGAUGUUCUACUAGUUCGUCAUUCCUCAUUCCUUUCUCUUCUCCGGUGGAUUCAAGUCAAGUUUUGUUGAUCAUACCUUUUUCCUCAUUUCAAUGUCUUCUCAUACCGGUGCACCUCAUUAUCAUUCUACUUCUCGCUAUUUGUUAUUCCGGAGUGCUCAAGAUAUCUCAAAGAUUCGUGUUUCCACUCUGCAUUCGUUCAAGCUCUUUCGAGAUUGGUAUCUCAUUCAAGUCAUUUAAUUCAACCGGUGCAACAUCUCUUUUAAAUCUUUGCAACGGUGUUCUUUUGAGUGGGCCCUAACCCACAGGUCUUUUCCCAGGAUCUUACCUGACUCUUCUAUUUUCCCAGAGCUAUCCUAAAUUCUUCUCCAAGUUUGACGUAAGAAUGAGUUAUCAUCAGUCAAAUGCUUUUCUCCAAGAUCUUUCAAAUUCUUUUCAUAGUUGGCUCAACCUCUUCGCUUUUGAUUCUUCCGGUGUGCCUCAAUAAUUCUUGGUGGUGUUUUUCAUUGUCAUUCUCAACAUUUGAAGACCGUAGACGGAUUUCUCUUAAAUCUUGGUCCAUUCUCUUGAAGGUUCAUGGCUCUAGCUUCAUGCUAUCAUCAUAAUUGUUUUGAUUGUGACUAUUCUUUUCACCCAUCCGGAGCAUUUCAUGAGUUGUUUCCAUUUCUUUCCUCCGAAGGCCAUCAUGUCAUAAUUCUUCAUUCUCAGCGUGUAGCUAUCGUUCUCCAAAUCUUACCGGUGAUUUGUUUAAAUAUCCUCUAAUCAGUUCAUGUUCUCUUCGUUCUCAUGUAUCUAAAUCCCCUCAAAUAUCUUCAUUUGUUUUCCAAUUCUUCCCGGUGAAUUGUGCCUUUGCUACAUUCAUUUUCAAUUCUUACGGUGGUUCGUUAAAGAUUUCACUUCCUUCAUUAUCUUAUCAAUUCAUUCGUUGUUUUCAAAUCCUACUGGUGGAUCGUUGAAGACUUUUCUCAAGUUUGCUCUAUAUCUUCUUAAUCCUUUCUAGAAGAAUAAGUAGUAUGCCAACUCCAUUGCUUAUCAUCAAUUUAAUUUGAUGAAGGAUAAACAUACAAUAAAUCUUAUUCUUAUUUCCUCGAGGUGAUUCAAUUCUUUUCUUCCGGAGAUUAUUCAUCAUGAAUAAAUUCUUGAUUACAAGUGAUUCAUCUUUCUUUCCGGAGUUUGUUCAUCAUAUCACAUUCUCGGUUUCAUGUGUUUCAUGUUUUCUUUUCCGGAGUUCCAAGUUUUCCGCAUUAUCUCGUCACGAAGCUCCAUCUAAAUCAUUGCAACGCUUCACCUUGUGUUUUCAACUUCUCUUUCUUUUCAUCAUCCUUCUAUUACUGGAGUUCUUCAUGGAGGCUCUAAAUGGUGGGUCGUCAAGGAUUCUUUUCAUUCUUCAAUUGUUCUUCAAGAUUUCGCUCGAAGUUAUGAUCCGCCAAGCUAUACUCAAAAGUAAACAGGGUGCCCAACACUUGUUUUGUUUUGAGAAGCUCAAGUAUUCUCCGUCUUGCAUUCCAAAGUGCAAUUCCUUCUAUCUUAUCUUUUGAGAUGGUGUUAUGUCACUCUUGACAAUUUCCUUCAUGUUUCAUGAUUCAUAUUGUUGUCAAGAAUGAGGUAUUUUAAAUCCAGCAGUCUCUUCACUGGAUUUAUAUUGGGUUAUAUUUCACCUAAAGCCUUCCCCAAGGAAUGUUGCUAUUUUGUGGUGAUUACGCAUGACCCAAGCUUACUCUUUAUCCUCUUGGUGGAAGAAGUUUUCAUCUCUUCGUUGAUCUCAAGCAAGCAAUUGUUUUCGUUAGUGGCAGAAUUUCACCUCAAGUGUUGAGAUGUUUUCCAUAAGCCACAACAAGUUUGUGCUUCUCGUUGUUGAUUUUCCAACAACUCCGUUCGAUUCUUCUUUGCAAGGAUGCUUUCCAGGUUCACUUGUGGAAAAAGUUGUCAUUUUCUUCUCCGUCCCUUUAUCCCAAUGAUCUAACUUCUAUUCUUUCGUUACGGAGACAUUGUGAUGUUGUGCUCUUCACUCAUCACCUCGUUUUUUUUGAGGAUCGUGUUCUUUUCUUGUUUAUCCAUUUAACCGGAGUGUUGUAUCAUCUCUUCAAUAUCUCUUCAUCUCAUCAAGCUUUUCUACCGGAGUGCUGUCCAAAUUCUGUCAUUCUUGUUCCUUGGCUAUCUCACUAUACCGAGGUGGUCAUAUUCUUUUCGUUCGUGAAGCUCUUUUUUCCAUGUCUUUCAACCUUCAAGUUCUCGUAAUACUCCUUGUUCCUCUUUUCUAACGAAUUGUUUGCAAUCUCGUUCAUCUCUGUUGUACUCUUUCUUUUAAAUUGCUCAACCUCUCAAGGUUUGUGGUUUCACUAGUUCGUCAAAGAAGCAACUUAGUUUUACCUCUUCUCUUCCUCUUUCUUUUCCCUCCGGUGCCAUCCUAGAUCUCGGGACGAGAUCCUCUCGUAGUGGUGGAGUGUUGUAACGCCCCGGAUGUAACUUUCCAUAUUCGUAACUCCAACUCCUGCCUUUUCCGGAGAUGCGAUAUAUUAUUUUCUCCGUGGUUGGGUUUUUGUCUUUCGUUUUGCAUUUUGUUCAUGUCAUGCAUUUCAUCAUCGCAUCAUUCGCAUUGCAUCGGCAUCGUUUUCAUAAAACUUGCAUUCGCUCGUAGUUGUCGCUUCUUCCUUGUUCCUGUUGACCCCUCUCAGAUCAACCGGACCGCUCUCUUCUCUCUCUUUUCUGAGCCCAUCAAAACCCUUUGUCUCCAUGGCGUUUCGUCAAACCCCUCUUGCGUGCGUCCGAAAACUCCCCUAAACCCGACCCGGGCAGUCAUUACCAUUGGGUCCGGAUCAUCCCCUAACGUCUACAAAACAUCUCUGUUUUGUUAUUUGGGCUCCCUAACUAUUUUAUUCGCGACCGUCCGAUUUUAAUCGAAGGGACCAAAUGACCCUAAGCCUACCCACUCGCUAUAUAUAGCAGUCUAACCCUAGAUCCUAGGGGCUUGUCCCAUCCAUUCCCCUCCUUGCGCCGCCACUAACUCCACCUGGUCUCCCCCACCUCGGGAUCUUGCCCGAUCCAAAAUUCCUCAUCGGGAUCCCCUGCCCGAUCCACCCAACCAGCUCGCAGCCGCCUCCCCUUCCCUGCUCCCGUGCGUGUCCAGCACCACAGGAGAGGUGCUCCUCGAGCCCUUGAUCUAGCGCGCAGAUGCCCGAGCGCUCCUCCUCGUGACCCACCGCCUCGGCGAACCGUCACCGUCGGCGACCACUUCCAUCAGGCCGGACCCCGCUCCCCUCGUUGCUUCUCCUUCUCCCGUUCCCUCCGUUUUCCCUCUCUCACUUGCUCUCUGUCAUCUCCAGGAAACUGCAGGAGGCAAGCACCAUGCAAUGGCCUCCCCUGCUCGACGACCGCGUCGCUGUCGUCGACUUCGCGCCCAUCCCCGCCUGAUUCUGCAGCACCGCCGCCCGUCUUCUUCGUUCACGGCAAGCUUUGCCGCUGUCCUGCUCGAGCUGCCAAGUCCCUGUUGCCUCGCCGCUGUACCCCGUCCUCGACCUCAUUCAGCAGCCCCCGCCGCAAGCCGCGACCUCCACAGCCUCCUCCCGAAUCUGCUCCGCCUCGCCUCUGCCGGAUCGGAGCAGCACCGGACUAGCAGGACCGUGCCCUUCCUCUCCAGCCUCCCCUCUGUUUUCUUCUAGAUCACCGGCAACGCUCUCUCUCAGAAUCUCUCUUCUCUCUCGCUUCUCUCCACAGGGAACCGAAGCCAUGGCCGCCGGCCAUCCAUGGUCGCCGCCGCAAGGAUUUGCUCGCCUCCGCUGCCUCCGCGCCAUCCCUGUCGCCGGAGGAUGCAGCCCCGCCGCUUCCAAGUCCUAUGCUUCGCCCGUGGUCGAGUGAGACGACCAUAAACGCAGCCGCGUUGACCGCCCGCUCGCCAGCGCCUCUCUGCCUCGCUGGCAAGGCCCAGCCUGCUCCAGCUCCUCAUCCGGCCUGCCAGGCCUCUCCACCAGCUGGGCCGAGGCCCAUGGUGAGACCCUCCCCCAGCGCCCAUGUCCUGUUUCGGCCUGUGCUCUAAUUCAGCCCGCAUGUGUUUUUUUUACUGCUGCGAAUUUAAUAUUAUCCAUUGUAUUACUGAUUUACAGAAAACCCCUCCAUGUUCAUGCAUAUAAUAACUCAUUAUCCGUGCGUCAUAUGUAAAUAAUUUAUAUAUGUGAUAUGCUUAGAAAAUUGUGUAGAUUAACAAUAUGCCACUUUCAUCCCAUGUUAAUAUGUUUAACAUGUUGUUUACAUUAAUUUGCUCCUAUGCCAUGCUAAAAUGAUUUAUUUCAUAACUGUUUAACCGUAACUCCGAAUUUAAUGUUCUUUAUAUGUAAAUGGGGUGGAAAAUGCCUAGUUUAACAUGGUGCACUUUGUUUUAUUGUUUAACAACUUUAAAAUAUGUUUUAGGGCAGAACAGUAGCAAAUUCAUAAAUUGCAUAUGAGGUUUUUCCGGAAAUGUUGUUUGUUGUUCCGGCCUCAUUUAAACUUGCCUAAAUAUUUAGUUUACUUUUGUUACACCCCUUUACAUGUUUAACAACAUUUAACAUUGCUGUGUACCUAAACGAGAGCGAACUAAAUAACUCGGAUGUGGUGUUUCGUCAAUAUGCAACUCGUUGCAUAUUGAGCUCCACUUAACUUGUAGUAUUGUGUGUUGCACUUUGCCAUGCCAUGCCUCAUUAAACCGGACAUGCAUCAUACUUGAUUGUGCAUCAUGCCAUAUUUAUGCUUGUGUGUUUACCAUGUUGUUUGUUUCUUUCCGGUGUUGCUUCUUAGUCCCGGUAAUGUUGCGAUUGUGAGGAUUCGUUCGACUACGUCCGUUUGUCUUCUUCGUGGACUCGUUCUUCUUCCUAGCGGGAUUUCAGGCAAGAUGACCGCUACCCUGGAUCUCACUACUAUCAUUGCUAUGCUAGUUGCUUCGUUCUAUCGCUAUGUUGCGCUACCUAUCAUUUUGUUCUAUCAAGCCUCCCAAAUUGCCAUGAACCUCUAACCUUUGACAUCAUUCCUAGCAAACCGUUGCUUGGCUAUGUUACCGCUUUGCUCAGCCCUCUUAUAGCGUUGCUAGUUGCAGGUGAAGUUGAAGAUUGCUCCAUGGUGGACAGGGUUGUGUUGGGAUAUCACAAUAUCUCUUAUAUUAUUAAUGCAUCUAUAUAUUUGGUAAAGGGUGGAAGGCUCGUCCUUAUGCCUGGUGUUUUGUUCCACUCUUACCGCCCUAGUUUCCGUCAUACCGGUGUUAUGUUCCCGGAUUUUGCGUUCCUAACGCGGUCGGGUGAUUUAUGGGACCCCCUUGACAGUUUGCUUUGAAUAAAACUUGUCCAGCAAGGCCCAACCUUGGUUUUACCAUUUGUCUCACCACCACCUAUACCCUUCCCUUGGGUCGGCCAACCCGAGGGUCAUCUUUAUUUUAGCCCCCCCGGGCCAGUGCUUGUCUAAGUGCUGGUCCGAACCGAGUAGACUACGGGGCCCCCUCAGGGCAACUCGAGGUCUGGUUUUACUCAUAGGAUGUCUCAUCCGAUGUUGCCCUGAGAACGAGAUAUGUGCAGCUCCUAUCGGGAUUGUCGGCGCAUCGGGCGGCUUUGCUGGUCUUGUUUUACCAUUGUCGAAAUGUCUUGUAAACCGGGAUUUCGAGACUAAUCGGGUCUUCCUGGGAGAAGGUCUAUUCCUUCGUUGAUCGCGAGAGCUUGUCAUGGGCUAAGUUGGGACACCCCUGCAGGGUAUAAACUUUCGAGAGCCGUGCCACGGUUAUGUGGCAGAUGGGAAUUUGUUAAUGUCCGGUUGUAGAUAACUUGACACCAGAUCCGAAUUAAAAUGCAUCAACCGCGUGUGUAGCCGUGAUGGUCUCUUCUCGGCGGAGUCCGGGAAGUGAACACGGUUUCUGGGUUAUGUUUGACAUAAGUAGGGGUUCAGGAUCACCUCUUGAUCAUUGCUAGCUUCACGACCAUUCCUUUGUUUCUCUUCUCGCUCUCAUUUGCGUAUGUUUGCCAUCAUAUAUGCUUAGCCGCUGCUGCAACCUCACCACUUUACCCCUUCCUUACCCAUUAAGCUUUGCUAGUCUUGAUACCCAUGGUAAUGGGAUUGCUGAGUCCUCGUGGCUCACAGUUACUUCCAAAACCAGUUUGCAGGUGCCGAUGUUACCGAGCAGGUGACACCACCAAGCUCAAGGAGGAGCUCGAUGAAGAUCUUGCCCUUUGUGUUGUUUCGUUCUAGUUGAUCAGUAGUGGAGCCCAGUUGGGGUCGAUCGGGGACCUUUGUCGCAUUUGGGGUUCUUCUUUUAUUUCGGUUCCGUAGUCGGGCCUUGAUUGUAUCUGUAUGAUGUAAUGCUUUACUCAUGUAUUGUGUGAAGUGGCGAUUGUAAGCCAACUAUGUAUCUCUUUCCCUUAUGUAUUACAUGGGUUGUGUGAAGAUUACCUCACUUGCGACAUUGCUUUCAAUGCGGUUAUGCCUCUAAGUCAUGCUUCGACACGUGGGAGAUAUAGCCGCAUCGAGGGCGUUACACUCCCUCGCUUUGAGGUCUCGAAUCCGGCCCUGCAAUAGGGGCACGUCUUCUGACGGCCCCCAAUUGAGUCCUUGGUUGACCCACGACAUCAACCGUCACGGAGGUCCCGGGCGGAAUGAAGGCGGCAGCUUUUGCCUGCUGCCCUUCGGAGCGGUGAUAUAGAACCACUCCUGCUGCCACAAGCCGAGCUCCUCUUGGAAGGAGCCCUCGGGCCAUGGGGCAUCGGCCCUCCUGCUUAUGGCCGCCCCGCCGCACUCUGCUUGACGCCCCCCGAUCAUCUUCGGCUCCACAUUGAAGGUCUUCAGCCACAGGCCGAAGUGGGGGGUGACGCGGAGGAAGGCUUCGCAGACGAUAAUGAAUGCGGAAAUAUGGAGGAUGGACUCCAGAGCCAAGUCGUGAAAAUCCAGCCCAUAGUAGAACAUGAGCCC